CUGGUUGAUCCUGCCAGUAGUCAUAUGCUUGUCUUAAAGAUUAAGCCAUGCAUGUCUAAGUAUAAAUAGUAUACAGUGAAACUGCGAAUGGCUCAUUAAAACAGUUAUAGUUUAUUUGAUAAUUGAAUUCUACAUGGAUAACCGUAGUAAUUCUAGAGCUAAUACAUGCUGUCAAACCUGACUUUUGGAAAGGUUGUAUUUAUUAGAUAUCAAACCAAUAAUCUCCGGAUUAUUGUGAUGAUUCAUAAUAACUGAUCGGAUCAAGGAAUACCUUGAUAGAUCAUUCAAGUUUCUGCCCUAUCAGCUUUCGAUGGUAGUGUAUUGGACUACCAUGGCAGUCACGGGUAACGGAGAAUUAGGGUUCGAUUCCGGAGAGGGAGCCUGAGAAACGGCUACCACAUCUACGGAAGGCAGCAGGCGCGUAAAUUACCCAAUCCUGAUUCAGGGAGGUAGUGACAAGAAAUAACAUCUCGGGUCCUUUUAGGAUUACGUGACUGUAAUGAGAACAAUUUAAAUCUCUUAGCGAGGAACAAUUGGAGGACAAGUCUGGUGCCA
rnacentral:rRNA from 1 species